rnacentral:snRNA from 1 species
CAAGGUUUUUUAAAAGUGUUUUU